rnacentral:rRNA from 1 species
AGAGUUUGAUCCUGGCUCAGAUUGAACGCUGGCGGCAUGCUUAAUAUAUGUAAGUUGAAUGUGAAUGUAUUUUUGGGUGUUAGUAGAGUGGUGGAUGGGUGAGUAAUAUUUGGGAAUUUGUUUAGUAGUGGGGGAUAAUUUGGGGAAAUUUGAGUUAAUAUUGUAUAUGUUUUAUGGGGGAAAGAUUUAUUGUUAUUAGAUGAGUUUAAGUUAGAUUAGCUAGUUGGUAGGGUAAAGGUUUAUUAAGGUGAUGAUUUGUAGCUGGUCUGAGAGGGUGAAUAGUUAUAUUGGGAUUGAGAUAUGGUUUAGAUUUUUAUGGGAGGUAGUAGUGGGGAAUAUUGGAUAAUGGGUGAGAGCCUGAUCCAGCAAUGCCGCGUGUGUGAAGAAGGCCUGUGGGUUGUAAAGCACUUUUAGUUGGGAAGAUGAUGAUGUUAUUAAUAGAAGAAGUACCGGCUAACUCCGUGUUAGUAGUUGUGGUAAUAUGGAGGGUGCAAGCGUUAAUCGGAACUACUGGGCGUAAAGCGCGCGUAGGCGGCUUGGUCAGUCAGAUGUGAAAUUUCCGGGUUUAACCUGGGAAUUGUAUUUGAUAUUGUCUGGCUAGAAUGUGGUAGAGGGAAGUGGAAUUUUAGGUGUAGUGGUGAAAUGUGUGGAUAUUUGGAGGAAUAUUAGUGGUGAAGGUGAUUUCCUGGACCAAUAUUGACGCUGAGGUGCGAAAGCGUGGGUAGCAAACAGGAUUAGAUAUCCUGGUAGUCCACGCCGUAAACGAUGUCAACUAGCCGUCGGGUUCAUUUAAGAGCUUGGUGGCGCAGUUAAUGCGAUAAGUUGACCGCCUGGGGAGUACGGCCGCAAGGUUAAAACUCAAAGGAAUUGACGGGGGCCCGCACAAGCGGUGGAGUAUGUGGUUUAAUUUGAUGCAAUGUGAAGAAUUUUACCAGCCCUUGACAUUUUUGGAAUUUUUUAGAAAUAGAUUGGUGUUUUUGGGAAUUGAGUGAUAGGUGUUGUAUGGCUGUCGUCAGCUCGUGUUGUGAGAUGUUGGGUUAGGUUUUGUAAUGAGUGUAACCCUUGUUUUUAGUUGUUAGUGUUUUGGGUGGGGGUUUUAAGGAGACUGCUGGUGAUAAACCGGAGGAAGGUGGGGAUGACGUCAAGUCAUUAUGGCCCUUAUGGGCUGGGCUACACAUGUGCUACAAUGGGCGGUAUAGAGGGUUGUGAACCCGUGAGGGGGAGUUAGUUUUGUGGGACCGCUCGUAGUUCGGAUCGCAGUCUGUAGUUUGACUGCGUGAAGUUGGAAUUGUUAGUAA